GCCCCGAUGGCUUAGUGGUACAGCGUGUCACUAGUACUUCGGUAUAUGACAAGAUCGUCAGUUCGAUUCUGGCUCGGGGCA